rnacentral:rRNA from 1 species
UAAUACGGAGGGUGCAAGCGUUAUCCGGAUUUACUGGGUUUAAAGGGUGCGUAGGCGGACUUUUAAGUCAAAUGUGAAAGCUUGCAGCUUAACUGUAAGAUUGCGUUUGAUACUGGGAGUCUUGAAUAUGGUAGAAGUUGGCGGAAUAAAUCAUGUAGCGGUGAAAUGCUUAGAUAUGAUUUAGAACACCGAUUGCGAAGGCAGCUAGCUAUGUCAUAAUUGACGCUGAGGCACGAAAGCGUGGGGAUCAAACAGG